rnacentral:rRNA from 1 species
UACAGAGGGUGCAAGCGUUUGUUCGGAAUUAUUGGGCGUAAAGCGCGUGUAGGCGGCUUUGCAAGUCGGGUGUGAAAGCCCUCAGCUUAACUGAGGAAGUGCGCCCGAAACUGCAGAGCUUGAAUACCGGAGAGGAUGGCGGAAUUCCCCCAAGUAGAGGUGAAAUUCGUAGAUAUGGGGAGGAACACCGGUGGCGAAGGCGGCCAUCUGGACGGCUAUUGACGCUGAGACGCGAAAGCGUGGGGAGCAAACAGG